rnacentral:lncRNA from 1 species
CGUCUUUCCGUCCCAUUAUGGGAAUCUAGUUAUUCCGCAUAACUCCUCCAACAGUUUGAAUCCUAGGAAGUUUUCUCUUAACUAUCUGUUUGUACAUAUAUUGAAGGUGUGCUGCAUGUGGUCAGGGUUUAAUUUUUAUUAAUAUGUGCUCUUUUGGGAGAAAGUUGAACUUUGUCAUUUUUGGGAAAUUUACUUGCAUAAGUAGGGCGUUUACAGAUAACUCCUCCUACAGUUUGAAUGCUAGGAAUUUAUCACUCUGCUAGCUGUUUGUACAUGUAUUGAAGGUGUGCAUGUAGUCAGGGUAUUUUCUUUUUAUUAUUUUUCCUCUAUUGGGAGAAAAAAUGAACUUUGUCCUUUUUGGGGUAUAAGCUGUUAAAUGAGUGGAGUGC